GUUUCGUUGUUUACAAUACAACAUCUUCAGAGCAAUCUAAAUGAUGUUGUAUUGUAAACAACGAAACG